CCACCCCUUCUAUACGGUACCUGACUGCCAGGGACUGCCCACCCGGGGGCGUUGUGCCACCACCGCUGCCCAUCUGUCUCCGAGCCCCGCGGGACUACCGUGGCAGCCCUGAAUUUGGUUGUAUUCAGAUAAAACUUUUCGUGCACCUCGGGAACUAACAUUGUGUGUGCCUCUUUCUUUUCCUGUUACGCCGUCAAGGCAGGGGGCAGUGAGGGGAAUGGCUCAGCCCUCUCAUUCCCGGAACGUAGUCGAUCUCCGCUCAGCGGAGUUCACAGAACACUCUCUGCCUAUCGCCGGCUCCAACGAGAAGUAACUUUCCAGGAA